ACAACCAACACCAGGCAUGUACAAACUAUUGCCCACCAUCUGAUGCCCAACUACAACUCCAAGCAGGACUGGUUAGCUUACAGCUAUUCUGGCAUGCUUGGUGUGUGCCCUAAAAAAAUGUG